rnacentral:rRNA from 1 species
UACGAAGGGGACUAGCGUUGUUCGGAAUCACUGGGCGUAAAGCGCACGUAGGCGGAUAUGUCAGUCAGGGGUGAAAAUCCCGGGGCUCAACCUCGGAACUGCCUUUUGAUACAGCAUAUCUUUUGAGUCCGAUAGAGGGUGGGUGGGAAAUUUCCCUAGUGUAGAGGGUGAAAUUUCGUAGAUAUUUAGGGAAAGAAACACCCGGGUGGGCGAAAGGGCGCACCCUCGU